GAGGGUUUAGUUAAUUUAUAACAUUAGAUUGUCAAGCUAAAAUUAUCAAAAGAUAUCUCUCU
rnacentral:tRNA from 1 species